rnacentral:lncRNA from 1 species
GACAGGAGCUGUAGUGUAUAAAUAGUAGCUGCAAGAGUGGACCCCAGUCUGAAAUCAGGAAUGAGGAUUCAGUGAGUUAAAUAAGAGGAUUAAGAGGAUACGUGGAUCAUUUCUAAGUGAUGUCCAGGCUGUCCUCAGCUUUAUUCAUCAACAUACUGGGUUACAUUGACAGAUUCAUAAAUGUCUCAGAUAAGAAAAGAUACUAAUUUUGAAUGGUAACAAAUGAAAGCAGAAAAAGAAGGGGCUGAACAUUCUCAGAUGAUCUUAAUUUGGUUUGACCUACCUAAAUUUGACUUCGACUUAUACUAAUAACACUGAUACACAACAUAAGCCUUUUUUUUUAGUAGCUUAUAAUCUAGAUGAGAAGACAAGAUUUAUCUCUGGCAAUAUCCGGAGAGAGAGCGAGAGAUUCCUAUAGAAUACAAGACAAGACUAUCACAAUGAGCUGAAAUGUUGUGUCUGUGAAAGUAAUGAGAAGCACAGUGGAGACAAGUUUCUGAAGGAUGGAAGAGGCUGGAGGCUGUCUGGUGGGAGAAGGUUCCCAGACAUGUGAGAGACCCAGCAACAGAGCUUUCUUGCUGCAACAAAAGAAAGAGGCAGAGCAGUUCCAGAUAACAACAAAGGACAAGAAACACCUUCUCUCUGAGGACAAAGACCUCCCUCAUGCACAAAAAAGAACAGUUCUUGUGGCUACAUGUCUACCUACCUCUUCACUGUAG